rnacentral:rRNA from 1 species
CCUACGGGAGGCAGCAGUGAGGGAUUUUCCACAAUGGACGAAAGUCUGAUGGAGCAAUGCCGCGUGAAGGAUGAAGGUCUUCGGAUUGUAAACUUCUUUUAUGAGGAAAGAUUAUGACGGUACCUCAUGAAUAAGGCGCUGCUAACUACGUGCCAGCAGCAGCGGUAAUACGUAGGCGCCGAGCGUUAUCCGGAUUUAUUGGGCGUAAAGGGUCCGUAGGCGGACUGACAAGUCUGAUAUCAAAGAUCUCGGCUUAACCGAGGGAAGGUGUUAGAAACUGUUAGUCUAGAGGCCGGUAGAGGUUACUGGAACUUAUCGAGUAGGGGUAAUAUCCGUUGAUACGAUAAGGAACACCAAAGGCGAAGGCAGGUAACUGGGCCGGCCCUGACGCUCAGGGACGAAAGCGUGGGGAGCGAACGGGAUUAGAUACCCCGGUAGUCCACGCCCUAAACGAUGGGUGCUAGGCAUUAGUGGCAUCGACCCCCCUAGUGCCGAAGUUAACACGUUAAGCACCCCGCCUGGGGAGUACGGUCGCAAGACUAAAACUCAAAGGAAUUGACGG